rnacentral:rRNA from 1 species
GAGGAAUAUUGGUCAAUGGACGCAAGUCUGAACCAGCCAUGCCGCGUGCAGGAUGACGGCUCUAUGAGUUGUAAACUGCUUUUGUACGAGGGUAAACGCAGAUACGUGUAUCUGUCUGAAAGUAUCGUACGAAUAAGGAUCGGCUAACUCCGUGCCAGCAGCCGCGGUAAUACGGAGGAUUCAAGCGUUAUCCGGAUUUAUUGGGUUUAAAGGGUGCGUAGGCGGUUUGAUAAGUUAGAGGUGAAAUUUCGGGGCUCAACCCUGAACGUGCCUCUAAUACUGUUGAGCUAGAGAGUAGUUGCAGUAGGCGGAAUGUAUGGUGUAGCGGUGAAAUGCUUAGAGAUCAUACAGAACACCGAUUGCGAAGGCAGCUUACCAAACUAUAUCUGACGUUGAGGCACGAAAGCGUGGGGAGCAAACAGGAUUAGAUACCCUGGUAGUCCACGCAGUAAACGAUGAUAACUCGUUGUCGGCGAUACACAGUCGGUGACUAAGCGAAAGCGAUAAGUUAUCCACCUGGGGAGUACGUUCGCAAGAAUGAAACUCAAAGGAAUUGACGGGGGCCCGCACAAGCGGAGGAACAUGUGGUUUAAUUCGAUGAUACGCGAGGAACCUUACCCGGGCUUGAAAGUUAGCGACGAUUCUUGAAAGAGGAUUUCCCUUCGGGGCGCGAAACUAGGUGCUGCAUGGUUGUCGUCAGCUCGUGCCGUGAGGUGUCGGGUUAAGUCCCAUAACGAGCGCAACCCCUACCGUUAGUUGCCAUCAGGUGAAGCUGGGCACUCUGGCGGGACUGCCGGUGUAAGCCGAGAGGAAGGUGGGGAUGACGUCAAAUCAGCACGGCCCUUACGUCCGGGGCUACACACGUGUUACAAUGGUAGGUACAGAGGGCAGCUACCCAGCGAUGGGAUGCGAAUCUCGAAAGCCUAUCUCAGUUCGGAUUGGAGGCUGAAACCCGCCUCCAUGAAGUUGGAUUCGCUAGUAAUCGCGCAUCAGCCAUGGCGCGGUGAAUACGUUCCCG